GGAGUGGUUAGUCUACGUGGACCGACAAGACUUCGGUCGAAUCGGAAGGAAACUUAACGUAGUUCUAACC
rnacentral:ncRNA from 1 species